AACGAACGCUGGCGGCAUGCCUAACACAUGCAAGUCGAACGAGACCUUCGGGUCUAGUGGCGCACGGGUGCGUAACGCGUGGGAACCUGCCCUUAGGCUCGGAAUAACUCCCCGAAAGGGGUGCUAAUACCGGAUAAUGUCUUCGGACCAAAGAUUUAUCGCCUUUGGAUGGGCCCGCGUUGGAUUAGCUAGUUGGUAGGGUAAAAGCCUACCAAGGCGACGAUCCAUAGCUGGUCUGAGAGGAUGAUCAGCCACACUGGGACUGAGACACGGCCCAGACUCCUACGAGAGGCAGCGGUGGGGAAUAUUGGACAAUGGGCGAAAGCCUGAUCCAGCAAUGCCGCGUGAGUGAUGAAGGCGUUAGGGUUGUAAAGCUCUUUUACCCGGGAUGAUAAUGACAGUACCGGGAGAAUAAGCUCCGGCUAACUCCGUG
rnacentral:rRNA from 1 species